AGCAGGACAAAUUUAGGGUUAGGGCUUUUAAAUGGUUUUUCUGUCCUUUUUCGUGGGCUAGGGUAUGCCGCCAUCGCCGGUGGCGUGAAGAAAUUCGCAGCCCCUCGCGACGACAAUCGAGCAGCAGCUGAGCUAUGGAGCCGGCCGCCGCUGAUGGAAUUCCGGAAGCCACGGCCGAUUUACCCGAGGAAUCGAAGAAUGCCGCCUUGGAAGAAUCGGCAGCUUCUCCGGGUAAGAUUGAGGCGGCCGUGAGCGAUUUCCCUGGCGAGAAGGAGGUGUCGUCGCCGAUUCCAAUCCGGGCGCCCGUGUCAGAGGAUGUGGAGGACGGCGGCGACAGCACUGGCAGCGGCGAGAGCUUCGACAGUGCGCUGGAGAGGAUGGCUGGGUCUUCCACUGCGAGCUUUGACAGUGCUGCCAGCCCGCGGGCCCAGGUGAUUGAGGAGUCGGACACCGCCAGGGUGAUGCCCAAGGCAGUGCUUUCUUCCGAGGAUAAGAGAGGAGGGAGCUCCAGCAGUAGCUCCAGCAGUAGCAGCAGCAGUGAUGAUGACGAAGAGGGUGAGAAGGGAGUGGAGUCGACUGGAGAGACUGGGGACUUUGACGAUUCCGCCAUGCCUGUGGCCAAGGUGUCUACCGAGGAUUUGGAAUCCGAGCAAGCUGACGAGCCAGUGGAGAAGAUAGGAGAUAUGGAUGGUGAGGAAGAAGAAGGAGAGGAGGAAACGAACCCGGAGCCCGAGGCGGUGGAGCCUCAGUCGGCUCAAGGCUUGCGAGUGAGUACCGAUGAUUUUGACACUAAGGUAGCUGACGAAGAUGAGCCUCGAGCGAUUGAGGAGCCUCAAUCGGCGGAAGGCUUGCGGGUUCUGGGAGCUGACGACGAUGGUCCCGAAGGAAGCGAUGAGCCGAUGAUUGCUGAGAAGAUAGAAGAACCAGCUGAGAAGAUAGAAGGUGAGAAAGUACACGAGGAACCUCAAACCGAAAGAGUGGAAGGGGGACCAGUAGCUGAGGAAGUGCAAGCAGGACCAGAGGAACAACCAAAAGAACCAGGAAAGGAACCAGUAAAGGAACCAAGCGACAUUGUUGAUCGCAUCGAAAACGAUAAGAAGCCCGAGGAUGAUGAGAAUGAAAAGCAUGAAGAAGUAGAUUAUAAGAAGCCCGAGGAAGCUGGGAAUGAAAAGCAUGGAGAAGCAGAUGUUAUUGGCUCGGCUGCAGAGGCAGUAAGGUCCCAGGAGGAGCGUGAACCAGUGCCUGAGACGGAUUCUGACGAGGAGGAAGAGGAAGAGGUUGAUACGAGUGCAGCGUUGAGAGCUUUCGCUCAAGCUGCUGCAGCAACUGAGACGCCGUCACUUGGUUCUGCCGGUCCUUCACUGCCUGCCAAGCCGACAGCGACGCGGCUGUUGUCUUCGAUUGAGGGAGCACGGAACACUCAAGUAGCUGCUCACAAUCCUUCUGGCGGCUCUGAAACUACAACAGCUGUUGAGGCCGCUGACACCAAUGGAGAACCGAAUGACGAGAACGUGGAAACACGAGAAAAGUUGCAGAUGAUACGGGUGAAGUUCUUGAGACUUGCCCAGAGGCUGGGACAGUCUGCGAACAACGCUGUGGUGGCACAAGUCCUCUACAGGCUUGGCCUAGCCGAGCAGUUGAGAGGGGGGCGCAGCUCAAGCAGGAAUAGCGCUUUCCGUUUUGAGAGAGCAAGUGCUAUCGCGGAGGAACAGGAAGCGGCUGGCCAGGAGGAGCUGGACUUUACUUGCACCAUUAUGGUCCUUGGGAAAUCAGGAGUUGGCAAGAGUGCCACCAUAAAUUCUCUCUUCGACGAGGCAAAGACCGAGACGAAUGCUUUUGCAUACUCGACGAAGAAGGUGCAGGAGAUUACUGGCACGGUUCAUGGAAUCAAGCUGCGAGUUAUCGACACUCCUGGACUGCUACCUGCCGUGGCCGAUCAACGCCACAAUGAGAAGAUCAUGGCAUCCGUCAAGCGGUUUAUCAAGAAAUCUCCUCCAGACAUUGUACUCUACUUCGACAGGCUCGACAUGCAGAGCAGGGACUAUGGUGAUCUUCCACUGCUCCGGACUAUCACAGAUACUUUUGGAGCUGCCAUUUGGUUCAACGCGAUAGUUGUCCUGACGCAUGCUUCUUCGGCUCCUCCCGAUGGACCCAACGGCCUUCCUCUCAGCUACGAGAUGUUUGUUGCACAGCGCUCGCACGUUGUUCAGCAGACUAUUCGUCAAGCAGCGGGUGAUAUGAGACUUAUGAACCCGGUGUCGCUUGUGGAGAAUCAUUCAGCUUGCAGAACGAACAGGUCCGGCGAGAGGGUUCUUCCCAAUGGACAAGUUUGGAAGCCUCAACUUUUACUACUGUGCUUCGCAUCAAAGAUACUGGCGGAAGCGAAUUCUCUCCUGAAACUUCAGGAGAGCACUCCCGGCAAGCCAUUCAUGCGGUCCAAGGUUCCUCCACUUCCAUUCCUGCUGUCGUCGCUGCUUCAGUCGCGGCCUCCGCUGAAGCAUUCCGACGAGAAUGCGGUUGGCGAAGACGACACUGAUGAUGAUAUUGAGGACGUGGAAGACUCUGAUGAGGAAGACUACGAUGAACUUCCUCCAUUCAGACGCCUCACGAGGGACGAGCUGGAUCAACUUGACAAAUCGAGCAGGGACGAGUACUUUGAGGAGCUGCAGAUGAGGGAGAAGCUCUUCCAGAAGAAGCAGUGGAAGGAAGAGAUUCGACGGCGCAGGGAGAUGAAGAAACGCGCGGCAUCGUCUGAUUCUGCCGAAGAGUAUCCGGCUCCAGUUGACGACGGCUAUGACGAUGACAACAAGUCGGCACCGGUCCCAGUGCCACUUCCGGAUAUGCAACUGCCGCCUACUUUCGACUCCGAUAAUCCUGUUCAUCGGUACCGCUACCUUGAAACUGCAAGUCAGUGGCUUGUGCGUCCUGUGAUGGACUUGCAUGGCUGGGACCGUGACAGCGGCUACGAUGGCUUCAACAUGGAGCGUAUGUUCACGUAUGGCAAGAUCCCAGCGUCUCUCAGCGGCCAGGUGACGAAGGACAAGAAGGAAGCCAACGUGACGCUCGAGUGCGCGGCAUCGAUGAAGCACGGAGAAGGGAAGGUGUCGCAGGCCGGUUUCGACGUCCAGACGGUGGGGAAGGACUUCUCCUACACGCUGAGGAGCGAGACAAGGUUCAGCAACUUCAAGAAGAACAAGACGAUCGCCGGCCUAGCGAUGACGAUGAUCGGCGACACUCUGGCUUACGGGAUGAAGAUCGAGGACAGGCUGAUGAUCGGGAGGAGAGUGAAGGUGGUGAUGAACGGGGGCGCGCUCACCGGGAAGGGAGACACUGCCUAUGGAGGCACGGUGGAGAUCAGCCUGAGGGACAAGGAUUUCCCGCUGGGACGAUCGCUCUCGACGUGUGGACUGUCGGUGAUGAACUGGCACGGCGAUAUGGCUCUCGGGGGUAACUUACAGUCGCAGUUCAUGGUCGGGAAGACAAUGGUGGUGGCUCGCGGCAAUCUAAAUAACCGUGGAGCUGGGCAGAUCACUAUUAGGCUGAGCUCCUCGGAGCAGCUCCAGAUCGCUCUCAUCGGGGUCAUGCCACUCAUCAAGGCUCUCUUCAACUCCAAGUUUGGAACCGGCCAGCAAGCUUGACGAGGUUUGCUGCUAUUGCUACUGCUUUUUCUUCUUACUGCUGCUGCUACGCUCCAGGGACGCUUUAUGUUUGGAUGUUUUUUUCGCUUCUUUUCUUUCGUUAUUCUAGCUCCAUAAGUUCGUGUGUUGUGUGAUUGGUUGACAGUUGCACAGCACAGGAAGGAUGUGAACAAAACAAGUCUGCUGACAGGUUUUUGCAAGGAAAGAAGAGGAGAGAAAAAAGCUUUGCCAU